GAUGAACGCUGGCGGCAUGCCUAAGACAUGCAAGUCGAACGAGAGGGCCCAAGGAGAGAGAAAGAAAUGGAAAGUGCUUGCACUGGAAAUGGAAAGCUUUCGAAUUGGAAUUUCCCUCGAGUGGCAAACGGGUGAGUAACACGUGGGUUACCUACCUCUAUGAUGGGGAUAACAGUUGGAAACGAUUGCUAAUACCGAAUGUGCUCUACGGAGUAAAGAAGCCCUUAAAGCUUCGCAUAGAGAUGGGCCUGCGGUGCAUUAGCUAGUUGGUGGGGUAAUGGCCUACCAAGGCAGCGAUGCAUAGCCGAGCUGAGAGGUUGAUCGGCCACACUGGGACUGAGACACGGCCCAGACUCCUACGGGAGACAGCAGUUAGGAAUAUUCGUCAAUGGGGGAAACCCUGAACGAGCAAUGCCGCGUGUGCGAAGAAGGCCCCUAAUGGGGUUGUAAAAGGCACUGUUGUUUGGAACGAAACUUAUGAU
rnacentral:rRNA from 1 species